GCUGGUUUUAUUCAUGCAUCAGUUUGUGCAGUGGAACUUAAAAGGAUUUUCUGCAUUAUUUUAGAACAUAUGCUGUACACCUUUUCCUCCCACGUGUUCUCUAUAUCCUGUAGAAUCUCUGGACAGAGAUCAUCUCUUCCCCUCCAGCUGAAAAAUGCAGUGUGUUGAAGAAGUAAAAAAAUUUAUUGCUGUGUUGAAGAAAAGUGAAGUAUACAGUGUUUCGAUGAACUUUCUGAAAAUGCAUUCGGAAGUUCCAGGGCAGGUACUCACAAAACUGGAGCAUUCACAGAGUAAGAACGAGACCUAAUUACUUCUGUGUGCAUUUUUAUUAAUGCAGAAGAGCUAAGUUGCACAGUGAGCAAGUGUUCUGGCAUUCCUAAAAGUCUUCUCUCUGUUUUCUGAAGGUAAAUAUAAAAUUCCCUUGUUUCUCCUCCUUUUCCUUUUCAUAAAUUUCUAUCCUUAGCUUCAUUUACACUACAAUUAGAUGUUAAGUAGCACCUACCUCCCAUUUUCAAAAAUAGUUUAGGAACAGAACUCUAAUAGAAAAAUAAUAAGAUUUAACAGCUUAGAUAAUUUUAAACUUUAGAUUCAGGCUAUUAAGGAACAAAGAGUACUAUUGAAAGUUUCACUCUAUCUUCAGCACUAAAAGCUUGCAAGGUUUUACACUCCACUCAAAAUAAUCAAUUCUGAAUUAUGGUUUACUAAAUUUCAAAAACUAAUCUGCUUACUAGUUGACAAUAUUUAAAGGAAGAUCUUGUGAGCCACUGAAACCUUGUGACUCAGGUAGGUGUACAAUACGUAUUCUUCUUUAAUUUGUUACUUGGACAUCACUCUGGAAGAAGUCCCUGUUUUUAUAGGUAAAAUUCUAGUGGGAAUUAUUUUAUGACAAUGCUUUUUCAUGUAGUCUUUGAAAAGUGAUGUAGAAUUUUUUUGGUCAUCAGAAAUGAUGAACUUGUAAAAGUGAUAAACAGUGUAAAUGUUGGUGCUGUUGACUUUGAAGUAAGACCAGAGAAGAUACUUAUAUGAGGAAAGUUCCACUCCAUACUAACAUUAUUCUCCUGCUUUAUCUGCUUCAUCCUGUCAGUUGUCUUCUUCUAAUUCUAAAUGAUUAAUCAUUUUAAUAAAUUAAGCAGAAUACACUACUUUAAAAUAUUCUGAUGAAAAGCAUAACAUACAGUUUUGGUGCUUGAAAUGUAUCAGUGCAUCUUAAAAUUAGCUGCUUGAUCUGUAGCAGCAGAAGAGACUCAGUAAGUCUAGGAGAACCAAAGGAAGAAUUUUUCAUUAGAAAUUCCGUUCUUUUUACAGAGGGUUUAUUUCUUUCCUGUUGAAAAUAUAAAGGUAACGUGGAGAUUUCUCUGUCAGCUGUGCCCGCAAAACUGUAUUGGAAUUGACAGAAGUGGAAGUGUUGGUGUAGGACUGCACAGUGUGGGCACUGGUAAAUGAGCAUUGGUAAAUGAGCACUUAAAUCUUUUGAAAAGCUGGUGCAGCUUGCACAGGCUGGAACUGCAGGCUUGCGUCUGUACCACAUAGACUCUCAAGAUCACAUUUUCCAGCUUUAGAGAAUUUCAUAUAUUCCCAAAAGUGAAAGUGUUGUUAUAUUACAUAACUGAGUACUGUUUGAUGAAGUCUAUAUAAUACAUGCUUCAAAAAAUUUACUUGAGAAGGGUUUUCAUUCCUUUUUGCCUGACUGUGUAUGUAUCUCUAUACAAUGAAAUACAGAGUUGCUGCAUUUCCAUCAAUUUCCAGACAGGAAUACAUCACCUACAUUUGAGACUGAAGUGACGUUGUGGAGACUGAAUCUGUUUGGGUACCAAAAAAGCAGUUUUGGUUGCAGAUAUGUGCAGUGCUAACAUGCAGCACAACUGCCCUGCUUUAACUGGUUCAACAAAGUUUUCCUGACACAACAAUUAACAGAUGAGCCAUAGAGGAAUUAUCUAAAUUCCAAUACUAUGCAAAACUACUACACAUAUAUGAACACAGGAGGACACAUACUCUGCAUUUGAUUCUAGCUUGUAAACAAUGAUGCAGAAUGGGAUAAACUUCAUCUGCUUAUAAAUCAGCUGGUGUGCAGACAUAAGUGUGAUUUUUAGAAGCCACAAACUCACAGCGCACUCAAUACUUUAUAAAUAAGCACAGUGCAGUGUGGAAGAAUUUCCGUUAAUUAAUGCAUCCUAAUUUAUUCUAUAAUUUCAAUUAUUAAUACAUAUUCAAAAAACCUUUCAGAUGCUGAGACCAGCAAUUAUUUUAAUGCAUUUUUUUGCUGUUGGUGUUCCUGGUUGCUGGUAUUGGUCACAGAUCACUGGAAAACUACACUGUAAAAGGCUUACAAGAGCAUCUGCAUUCUUCAGGGGGCCAAAAGGCAGAGCUGCAAAGAGAUAAUUGGUUACAUUCAAUUAAACAUGGAAGAUUUCACCUGAGAAAGCAAGCAUAUAGUCUGUCAAUGAGGCCUUCCUGCAUCAGCUACAAGAAGUUUCAUGCUCACAGGCUCUCAUCCUGAUGGGGGAUUUCAACCACGCAGAUAUCCGCUGGCAAGAGAAUGCAGCAAACUGCGAUUCAGGAAACUACUGGAGUCCAUUGGAGGUAACUUUCUGGUUCAAGUAUUGGACAGACCAACCAGAGGUGAGGUGUUGCUGGACCUAGUACUCACCUAUGUGGAGGAGUUCAUUUAAGAUAUUAAGAUCAAAGGUAGCCUGGGCUGCAGCAGCCUGGAUGUGUCUGUGUUCUUGAAGAAUGUGAGCUUGAUAAAGAGUGGAGUCAGGGCCCUGAACUUCAAGACAGGGAACUUUAUGUUGUUUAAGGAAUUGUUGGGUGAGAUCUCCCUGGAAGAAGUCCUUAGAGUCAAAGGAGUGGAACAAAGCUGGCUAUUCUUUAAGGAUGCCUUUCUGAGAGAACAAGAGCUCUCCAUCCCUCGCAAUAAGAAAGCUGUCAGGAGUGGCAGCAAAUCUGCAUAGAUUGGCAAGAAUCUGUUGGUCAAACUGAGUAAGGGUAAGUAAAGAACUGUAAGUACAGACAGUGGAAGCAAGGGUGUAUAACAUGGGAAGAAUGCAGGGACGCAGUCCAGAUUUGCAGAGAUGGGAUUAGGAAAGCCAAGGCACAGAUAAAACUGGACUUGGUGAAGGAUGUUAAAAGCAACAAGAGGGAACUCUAUAGGUGCACUGACAGGCCAAAGAGAGCGUGUCUCCUAUGCUAAAUGAGAAAGGAGAGCUGGCUGCAACAGAUAUGGAGAAGACUGAAGUACUCGAUGAGUUCUUUGCCUCAGACUUCACUGACAGCCAGGAUUCUCACAUCCCUGAACUUCACAUCCCUGAACCUGAACAUCUAGGUGGGAAGUAGCGAAGCAAACUCAGGAGACUGAAUAUGUACAAGUCCAUGGGGCCAGAUGACAUGCUGUCUGGUUCCAGUUACUGGAGGAGAUGGUUUGAUAUAUAUAUAUACCCGGUGCAAAACUAAGGCAGCAAAUGAAGCCAAGAUGCUGCCCAACCAAUUUAUUACAAAUUCUAAGCAGUUAAGGAACGUGGGGAAGAUGGUGAAGUUAGCAAUAGUAAAGAGAGGAAUCCUAGUGCACAGGUCAUAAGGCGGGGAUAGUCACUGCUAUGGAUCCAGCGAGGUCUUGUUGAUCCAUAGGGAGCUGCAAGUCGGUCAGCGACAUCUCAUUGACCUGCGCAGCUGCGGUUUGGUGGAGGGGGCACCCACUCUUCCUCCAAAGUUUUUUGUUCUUGUCCCCUUCAUUCUGCUCUAGUGCACCUCUGGUUGCUUGAGGCAAUGGCACCUGUUCCCCUGUCAGGUGAUCAGCAGUUGAUGAUGCUACAGUCACGUGCCUGCUACCUGGUGGUCCAGUGCUGACUCCAUACUGGUCAUUUACUCCAAAACAAACCCAAAAGUUAGUGUGAUAUGCAAACAUCAGCUGAGAGCUGAUUCUUUCUAGUCACUCAAUAACACGAGUUCUUCUUAUUGGCCUAUCAUGGUCUCAGGUGUGUGCUGCUGAACAAUCCUUGAGACAAUAGUGCUUUCUUUUAGCUUCUCAAACAUGCAUCCCAGGAUUCUAAGGGAGCUGGCUGAUGUGGUUGAUGAGCCACUCUCUGUGUUAUCUGAAAAGUCAUGGCUGUCAGGCAAAGUCCCCAGGGAUUGGAAAAAGGGAAACAUCACUCCCAUAUACAAGAAAGAGAGGAAGGAAUACCUGGGGAACUACAGCCCAGUGAGCUUCACCUCUGUUCCUGGGAAGAUCAGGAACUGGAUCAGGACCUGGAACAGAUCCUUCGGGAGGCAUACAAAGCAUAUGAAGGAUGAGCGGGUUAUCUAAGAUAGCCAGCAUGGCUUCACCAAGGCAAGGUCAUGCCUGAUCAGUCUGGUGGCUUUCUGUUAUGGAGUCAUCCCUCCAUAAUUGUGUGGACAUUGGUGGACAAAGGGAAGGCAACUGAUAUAAUCCUCUUGGACUUCUCAAAGGCCUUUGAUAUGGUCCCACACCACAUACUUUUGUCUAAAUUGGAGAAAGAUGAAUUUGAAGGGUGGACUAUUUGGUGGAUAAGGAAUUGGUUUUAAGGUCACAGCUAGAGAGUUGUGGUCAAUGAGUCUAUGUCCAGGUGGAGGUCGAUAACAAGUGAUGUUUUCCAGGGGUCUGUCUUGGGUCCUGUAUUCUUCAACAUCUUUAUCAACGACACAGGUGAUGGGAUUGAGUGUACCCCCAGAAAGUUUGUUGAUGACACCAAGCUGACCAGUGUGGUUGACAAAGAAGGGAGGCACACCAUACAGGGGGACCUUGACAAACUCUAAAGAAUCAUAGAAUGUCCUGGGUUGAAAAGGACCUCAAAGAUCAUCUAGUUUCAACCCCCCUCCUGAGUGAAGGGUCACCAACCAAUAGAUCAGGCUGCCCAGAGCCACGUCUCCAGGGAUGGGGCAUCCACAACCUCCUUGAGCAACGUGUUCCAGUGCGUCACCUGGUGUCACCAGUGGGUGGACAAAGAGACUCUGCGAAAACCUGCGGGACCUGAAUAAGGCCAAGAGAUGGCAGAUCCAGUGCACUGAAGUUGCUACAGACAACAUGGGCCUCCCCACUUAAGAUCCAAAUUAUGGGCAUUGAUAAUCAGAUGCCCAGGACAUUCCCCAGUGCAAGCCGAAGUGUUGACGCAGGACAGGAACACCGUCUGUAUCUUGCCAUGGAGGGCAGUCCUACCCCUUCUGGUACCUCUGAAACACCUAUGCUACUCCCCAUGAGUCUCUUUGAGUCCACAGAAUCGACAGGAAGAGCAACAGGACAUCAAGAUGCUCCAGUGUCACUAUAAGAUCAGCGUGACACCCAGUGGUGGACUAUAUGGUACUGAUGGAAUGCGAGCCGAACCUUCCCUGGUCCAAGCAACUAAGUGCCUUCAGAAGAACCAUCAAGUAUUGACCCACAAAGAAAGAUGAACCUCAGUGGAAAACCAGUCAUCAAUAGUCUUAUAUUUCAUUAGUGUACACUAUGACAGGCAAAUUGUACAAAGUGUCAUGGUAUACUGGAUCACUGUAAUGGAAAGGGCUUACCUUCAACCUGCUCAAUCAUUGGUUCACUCUUUGAAGGGGUGGAGUGUAGUGGAAAUACUAAGUCAUGGCCUGAAACAGUGAUUGAGCACCUGGG